GUGGCGAACGGGUGAGUAACACGUGAGCAAUCUGCCCUUGACUCUGGGAUAAGCGCUGGAAACGGCGUCUAAUACUGGAUACGAGCUGCGAAGGCAUCUUCAGCAGCUGGAAAGAAUUUCGGUCAAGGAUGAGCUCGCGGCCUAUCAGCUUGUUGGUGAGGUAAUGGCUCACCAAGGCGUCGACGGGUAGCCGGCCUGAGAGGGUGACCGGCCACACUGGGACUGAGACACGGCCCAGACUCCUACGGGAGGCAGCAGUGGGGAAUAUUGCACAAUGGGCGCAAGCCUGAUGCAGCAACGCCGCGUGAGGGACGACGGCCUUCGGGUUGUAAACCUCUUUUAGCAGGGAAGAAGCGAAAGUGACGGUACCUGCAGAAAAAGCACCGGCUAACUACGUGCCAGCAGCCGCGGUAAUACGUAGGGUGCAAGCGUUAUCCGGAAUUAUUGGGCGUAAAGAGCUCGUAGGCGGUUUGUCGCGUCUGCUGUGAAAUCUGGGGGCUCAACCCCCAGCCUGCAGUGGGUACGGGCAGACUAGAGUGCGGUAGGGGAGAUUGGAAUUCCUGGUGUAGCGGUGGAAUGCGCAGAUAUCAGGAGGAACACCGAUGGCGAAGGCAGAUCUCUGGGCCGUAACUGACGCUGAGGAGCGAAAGGGUGGGGAGCAAACAGGCUUAGAUACCCUGGUAGUCCACCCCGUAAACGUUGGGAACUAGUUGUGGGG
rnacentral:rRNA from 1 species